rnacentral:rRNA from 1 species
CAAUAAGCGGAGGAAAAGAAACUAACAAGGAUUCCCCUAGUAACUGCGAGUGAAGCGGGAAAAGCUCAAAUUUAAAAUCUGGCGGUCUUUGGCCGUCCGAGUUGUAAUCUAGAGAAGUGUUACCCGCGUCGGACCGUGUACAAGUCUCCUGGAAUGGAGCGUCAUAGAGGGUGAGAAUCCCGUCUUUGACACGGACUACCGAGGCUUUGUGGUGCGCUCUCAAAGAGUCGAGUUGUUUGGGAAUGCAGCUCAAAAUGGGUGGUAAAUUCCAUCUAAAGCUAAAUAUUGGCGAGAGACCGAUAGCGAACAAGUACCGUGAGGGAAAGAUGAAAAGAACUUUGGAAAGAGAGUUAAACAGUACGUGAAAUUGCUGAAAGGGAAACGCUUGAAGUCAGUCGCGUCGUCCGGGAAUCAGCCUUCCUUCUGGUUGGUGUACUUCCUGGUCGACGGGCCAGCAUCAGUUUUGACCGGUGGAAAAAGUUCGAGGGAAUGUGGCACCUCCGGGUGUGUUAUAGCCCUCGUUCGUAUACAUCGGUUGGGACUGAGGAACUCAGCACGCCGCAAGGCCGGGAUUCGUCCACGUUCGUGCUUAGGAUGCUGGCAUAAUGGCUUUAAUCGACCCGUCUUGAAACACGGACCAAGGAGUCUAACAUGCCUGCGAGUGUUUGGGUGGAAAAACCCGAGCGCGUAAUGAAAGUGAAAGUUGAAGAUCCCUGUCAUGGGGAGCAUCGACGCCCGGACCUGACGUUCUCUGACGGUUCUGCGGUAGAGCAUGUAUGUUUGGGACCCGAAAGAUGGUGAACUAUGCCUGAAUAGGGUGAAAGCCAGAGGAAAACUCUGGUGGAUGCUCGUAGCGAUUUCUGACGUGCAAAUCGAUCGUCAAAUUUGGGUAUAGGGGCGAAAGACUAAUCGAACCUCUAGUACUGGU